rnacentral:rRNA from 1 species
CAUGCAAGUCGAACGAUGAACCGGUUUCGGCCGGGGAUUAGUGGCGAACGGGUGAGUAACACGUGGGCAAUCUGCCCUGCACUCUGGGAUAAGCCCGGGAAACUGGGUCUAAUACCGGAUACGACACAUGAGCGCAUGCUCGUGUGUGGAAAGUUCCGGCGGUGCAGGAUGAGCCCGCGGCCUAUCAGUUUGUUGGUGGGGUAGUGGCCUACCAAGACGACGACGGGUAGCCGGCCUGAGAGGGUGACCGGCCACACUGGGACUGAGACACGGCCCAGACUCCUACGGGAGGCAGCAGUGGGGAAUAUUGCACAAUGGGCGAAAGCCUGAUGCAGCGACGCCGCGUGAGGGAUGACGGCCUUCGGGUUGUAAACCUCUUUCAGCAGGGAAGAAGCGAAAGUGACGGUACCUGCAGAAGAAGCACCGGCUAACUACGUGCCAGCAGCCGCGGUAAUACGUAGGGUGCAAGCGUUGUCCGGAAUUAUUGGGCGUAAAGAGCUCGUAGGCGGCCUGUCGCGUCGAUUGUGAAAGCCCAGGGCUUAACCCUGGGUCUGCAGUCGAUACGGGCAGGCUAGAGUUCGGUAGGGGAGAUCGGAAUUCCUGGUGUAGCGGUGAAAUGCGCAGAUAUCAGGAGGAACACCGGUGGCGAAGGCGGAUCUCUGGGCCGAUACUGACGCUGAGGAGCGAAAGCGUGGGGAGCG